AUGCUGAGGAGGGAAGAUCAUGCCACCUCCUCACUCUGCUCCUUCUUCUUCUUGUUGCAGAGCUCUGGCUGUCCUCUGCAUAAUCUCUACUACUCAUCUAACUGUGCAGUGAACUGACUUAUGUUAGCCCAGCAGUAAAAUAACCCCAAAUCAAAAACUAAGUAGAGCUUUUUGCUGCUUAGCAAUUUGAAUUGGCUUUAUUGUACAGUCAGAGCAUCAGAAGUAAACUAAGAGACGAGUUGAGGCUGGUUGGUUGGGAACAGGAAUACAGGCAAGGAAGAGGGAGAGGGAAAGUGGAUUACCAGGACCAUCACUUCCUAAUGCAACCAGCUCUUCUGUCUUCUCCACUGUGCAUCUAGCUGUACUCUUAGCAUCUCAGCACCUCUCUCUCUCUACACAGGCUUCCUCAAGCCUUGCCUAUCAAGCAAUGGUGGUCUACGGUUGCCAUUUUACAGGAGAGAAACUGAGGCUCACAUAGUGAGUCUCCCAGUGUUAUGCGGAUGAGCUGAGACAUGGCAAGAAAUUGGAGUUGGGUGUUGCAAACCCAAGGCAGUUCUCUAUUGCUUUGGGGGAUGAAAUUCUUCUAAAUUUCUAAUCAAGGAAAUCUCCAUCCUGCAAUGUGCAGAGAGGAGGCUGGGAUGGGACAGGCCAAUGACUUCAGAAGAGGGAAAUCACCGCGAUUUUUGACUCCUUGCAGGGCUCAGGUGUGAACUUGAAGAUGUGUGAAGGAGGAAAAUAAGGCGGAUGGGCAGCUGCAGCCCUCGUGCUCAUGCCAUGGGCAGGGAAGAGACCAUCCGAACCAAGGCACGCUUCCUUGGUGGUGCCAGCAAUCCUGACUGCUUUUCUCCCCACUGCGUCCCAGGGCCCAACCUCCUCUGUUGCACCAGCACUGCAGUUUCUGGUGUCACUCUGAUAACAAAAGCAAUCUGGAUUAAGAACAUCCUGUAAAUAAAAAAGAUGGUUUGCAAUUUGGAUCAGCCCAGUGACCUGCCUAGCCCCAACAGCAGUAGCAGAGCUGCAUGAGUGCGCAAAAGCAGCCCAAGGCAAGGCAGGGACAGGAGGAAGAUGUUCCCAAGCUGGUGUUGCAGCUGAAGUCCCCCUCUGUGAAAGUGCACCUGCCAGUGUGCUUCUUUUCUGGCGUGGAUAUCGGAGGGAAUUCCCCUGCAGUGCCUGAAAUAACAUGUUAGGGAAGAACUACACAUCUGUGAGUUAUAUAUUAACAGUCACAGGUGACCUUUCAGAGAGUGGCGGAGUAACCAUCUCACCAAAUUACUGAUUAAAAUAAUGGCACUUUUUCCAUUAUGCAGAGCACAGGUAUUAACUCCUAGGAAAAGACUGACA
rnacentral:lncRNA from 1 species